rnacentral:ncRNA from 2 species
GUCAGGACGUGCGACUGACGGAUCAGUGGGGAACCACAGGGAGCACGUGGAAGCAGAAUUGUCGACCGUCUGGGCAGCACUA